rnacentral:rRNA from 1 species
GACGUAGGAGGCGAGCGUUGUCCGGAUUCAUUGGGCGUAAAGAGCGCGCAGGCGGCUUGGUAAGUCGGAUGUGAAAUCCCGGGGCUCAACCUCGGGUCUGCAUCCGAUACUGCCCGGCUAGAGGUAGGUAGGGGAGAUCGGAAUUCCUGGUGUAGCGGUGAAAUGCGCAGAUAUCAGGAGGAACACCGGUGGCGAAGGCGGGUCUCUGGGCCGAUACUGACGCUGAGGAGCGAAAGCGUGGGGAGCGAACAGG